rnacentral:rRNA from 1 species
UUCGGUGGUCAUAGCGGUAGGGGAACACCCGGUCACGUUCCGAUCCCGGUCAGUUAAGCCUGCCAGCGCCGAUGGUACUGCCCCCGAAGGGGGGUGGGAGAGCAGGACACCGCCGAACA